UACCAGCACCCCGAGUGGUCGGGACGAUUAUUGGGCCUAAAGCAUCCGUAGCCGGUCCUGCAAGUCUUCCGUUAAAUCCAGCUGCUCAACAGAUGGGCUGCGGGGGAUACUACAUGGCUAGGAGGCGGGAGAGGCAAGCGGUACUUUAUGGGUAGGGGUAAAAUCCGUUGAUCCAUAGAAGACCACCAGUGGCGAAGGCGGCUUGCCAGGACGCGGUCGACGGUGAGGGAUGAAAGCUGGGGGAGCAAACGGG
rnacentral:rRNA from 1 species